GGUUCCCUCGCCCAGUCUGUCUCUCCAUGGUUCCCUAGCUCAGCCUGUCUCUCCAUGGUUCCCUAGCUCAGCCUGUCUCUCCAUGGUUCCCUCGCUCAGCCUGUCUCUCCAUGGUUCCCUCGCUCAGCCUCUCUCUCCAUGGUUCCCUCGCUCAGCCUCUCUCUCCAUGGUUCCCUCGCCCAGCCUGUCUCUCCAUGGUUCCCUCACC